AAGGGUAUAGCUCAGCGGUAGAGCACAUGCUUAGCAUGCACGAUGUCAUGGAUUCAAUCCCCAGUAUCUCCA
rnacentral:tRNA from 1 species